rnacentral:rRNA from 1 species
GACGGAGGGUGCACGCGUUGUUCGGAAUUACUGGGCGUAAAGCGCGUGUAGGCGGCUUGCUAAGUCUGAUGUGAAAGCCCGGGGCUCACCCCCGGAAGUGCAUUGGAAACUGGCGAGCUCGAGUCCCGGAGAGGAGGGUGGAAUUCCUGGUGUAGCGGUGAAAUGCGUAGAUAUCAGGAGGAACACCGGUGGCGAAGGCGGCCCUCUGGACGGUGACUGACGCUGAGACGCGAAAGCGUGGGGAGCAAACAGG